CGGCGAUAGCGCGGUGGUCCCACCUGACCCCAUGCCGAACUCAGAAGUGAAACGCCGUAGCGCCGAUGGUAGUGUGGGGUCUCCCCAUGUGAGAGUAGGGAACUGCCAGGC
rnacentral:rRNA from 1 species